rnacentral:lncRNA from 1 species
GCGAAUACUUUGAAUGGCCUCCUAAUCAGGCUGUUAAUUGGAAGGUAGAGCCAGAGGGCUUCAGUCUUUGGGGCUCCCGUGUAGAGAGUGACUCCCUUAGAUCUCUUGCAAACUGAGCAGGUAUAGAGCAGGGAGAAUGAUUUGUAUAAGAAGUCUUUAGAAGAUAGUGCAGUACUCUGACUGAUUAAGGUCACUCAAAGGCUUUCUCAAUUAACGACAGGAUCUGCUUCAGUUGCAGGGUGGAUAAAGUGGUUCCAUCUGAGGCCCCAGGGAAGGAAAGGGCCAUGAGAUCCAUGGAAUGAUCUUAAGGAGAAGGUGGCCUACACAGGAGAAUCCCACAAAGUAGUCAGAGACCCCCCAAAGGGAAGACGUGUCAGGCUGAGGGAUUUCCUAUGACCUGGGAACCUGAGAGUCCAGUUGAUAAAACUUCAGGUAAGUGACAGCCAACCUAUCUCCCAA